rnacentral:rRNA from 2 species
CACCGCGGUUAUACGAGAGGCCCGAGUUGAUAGACAUUCGGCGUAAAGAGUGGUUAAGGAAAACUGAAACUAAAGCCGAACACCUUAAUAGCAGUUAUACGCCUAUUAAAGCACGAAGCCCCACCACGAAAGUGGCUUUACAACCCUGACCCCACGAAAGCUAUGAUA